rnacentral:lncRNA from 1 species
UAAAACUGUAAAAACAUAUACUCAUUCAAAAAUAUUUGUAUUAUAAAAUUCCUGGUACAUCUGCAAGUAAUAAAAACCAUUCUGUUACAACUUUAGAUAUCUCUACAUAGGAAUGAAACAUGUACAUUUCACUAUUACUGGUACUUUGGCACCAGCGAUAAACCAGUAAAAAUGAUAAAUGAUUGCAAACUUCAAGCAACCACAUAAAUAAUGCUUAAGCUAAAGAAGCUAAGAAUCUUUGUAGCUUUGGAGCAGCAGCUUUGCCUUGUUGAUAUUGGGACCUUAUCGGCAAUUGUCUUGAUAAUGCUUUCUUGAUGUCCUAGCACAUCUACACCUGUUGAGCCAAAUUAACAGCAAAGCCUAAUAAGCAUUUUCACAUAUGUAGGAUCAAUCAUGGGCAAUCAGUUACAAAAUUUAACUACAGCCAAGCACUAGCACCUUAUAACUUGAGGUUAAACCAAUAAAACUUAAAACGGACCACAUAUAAAUUAUGUAAAUAUACAAAGGUUGUCCAUGUGAUAAAAUCUUGAUGAUAAAAAAAAAAAAUCAUGUUAACUUUACUGAGGAUAGAAGAAUUAGAAAAGUAAUAAACACAAACCUCUCUGAUGCUUUAAAAGGAUUGUGGAGGCCAUGUUUCUGCCACUAUGAGAAACUCUUCCCAUAGCCCUUGUAACAACCAAAAAGUUGAAACACUUCGUUACAAUUGUCUGAUUCUUAGUUAAAUGAAUUUGAACAUAAAGAAACUCUUCACAUAGCCCUUGUAACUACCAAAAAGUUGAAAUACUUCGUUAAAAUUGUCUGAUUCUUAGUUAAAUGAAUUUGAACAUAAACUUUAAGAAACAAGUUUACUUAUAGACUCUUAAUAAUCAAUAAGCAUACCUGAAUGUUACUCACUUACUCGGAUAUCAUCCUAGCAACCGUCACCAAGGAUUCACAUGCAUUUAGAUCAUAGACCAAUACUGAACGCUGAAAUAACCACGAACAACCAUAAAUCAGUGUAAUGGCUAAAGUAAAAGUAAUGUUCAUACAAAAAAGUUAAACAUUUCACAAGGAUAACCAAAUUUCAGAGGUAAGGAAUUUAAAUUACAAUACUUAAAACAGAAUCACAAACCAGGAUUUGUAAGCAAAAUUUUAUCUAUCGUCUUGCAAUUUUUCUUUAAGUAAUAACAACAAGAUCACGAGUAAAAGUUGAAGUUUAAGCUAAAUACAAUUAUACAGGUAUGACAACUAUUGAGAUACAGAACAAUAUCAGUUCCUUCAAUAUUCUGAGUGUAUAAAACCUAUAACUGAGUUGUGCUGAUAUAUAUAUUGGGACUUGUUAAGACAAAUUAAAAUUAGAAUCUUAUAACUGAGUCUGUGCUGACCUAAAUGAAGAAAUUAAACAGUCAAAUUGAAUUUAUGAUAUGUGGGACUUGAGUAACUACUGAUUUUGUUCCCGACACAAAUUUCUAUUCGGCAAACGAUUCACUGGGGAAAAAAAGCCUAAAAUAUAAAUAGAGCAUUUACCUGUCAAUUUUUAUGGGAUUUCGAUCGAAUAGGACUAAAUUAGAAUAAUUCAAUCUGACCCAGAAUCUAAAAUCAAAUCCAGAUAACAGAUAAGCGCAAAAUCAAAAGCUGAAAUGCAGAGUGAGAAAGAUCUUUGAAUCAUUAUGGUUAAUAGGAGAGUAAUAAAGAUCGAGAAGUGAAGCAGGGAUACCAUAUGCCCAAGCAGAGAGGCAAAGAUCUGAAGAUGGACUCUCUCAAGCUCGGCGUAGCGGGAGGAGAUCUGGGCUUGGUGAUGUACGUAUGUCUUCCAUGGGUAGCGGCUAGGUUUAGUUUGAAGGUAAAGGGAAUUUGGGUGAGAGACAAGGGCACUCGGCAACAAAACUGAGUUGUAAUUUUGUUAACUUUUGUGUAUUCUCAGUUGGUUUUUUAGUUUUUCACACACUAUUCUAAUAUUCUAAUCCUACAUUGAAUAAUUUUAAAUCUGAAGCUAGCCACAUUCAUCUAUAAUUGUGGUCAUACAAGAUGAAAAAUAAUAAACAAUUGCCUUCCCCACCAUCUUAAGCAUUAGUGGGACUAAAGUCACUGUUGAUAGAAAAUUACUCACGAAUGUUUAAACUGUGGGCAACCAAAGUGUGGCUGUUGCUCCUUGUUGUUGUAGUGCAUAAUUAAAGAACAACGAAAAAGCAUAGUUCACAUAACAUAUUCUUGUCCUAUCGAUCUCAUGGGACAAAGACUUAGGAAACUUAAGGGGGAGGUACAUACUUGUGAGCAAAUUAGAAAUUACAUAGUAGCAUAUGACCAAAUUUAAAAACACAAAAAACUUACUUUCAACAAUUUUUAUACAAAUUAGGACACAAUGCAAGCACAGACCCAAAACCAACAGUAUCAGGCCCGACCCAGAUUCUGUCCAUGAAAUGACCAAAAUGACCUCACUUUCACAUCCAAAUUACGCGCAUGCCACUC